rnacentral:rRNA from 1 species
GAUGAACGCUAGCGGCAGGCCUAAUACAUGCAAGUCGAGGGGCAGCACGGGUAGCAAUAUCUGGUGGCGACCGGCGCACGGGUGCGUAACACGUAUACAAUCUGCCUUCUACAGAGGGAUAACCCGGAGAAAUUCGGAUUAAUACCUCAUAACAAAUGAAUUGGCAUCAAUUUAUUUUGAAAGAUCCGUCGGUAGAAGAUGAGUAUGCGUCUGAUUAGCUAGUUGGUGAGGUAAUGGCUCACCAAGGCGA